AGGAGCCGUAUGAGGUGAAAGUCUCACGUACGGUUUUGAAGACGAGCCGAGGCGGCAACAAAUCGGCUUAGUUUAAC
rfam:Lyngbya majuscula 3L genomic scaffold scf52121, whole genome shotgun sequence.